UUCUUCUUCUUCUUCUUCUUCUUCUUCAAGAACAUCGUUCCACUUAAAGAACGCCUAUUUAAUUACCUGUAUUUAUUAUGUAGCUAGAACAUAGACCCCUAGAAUUGACACUGAGGACCUUUGCACUAUUCUUUGUUUAAACCACUUUUGGCAGCAGCGGGUGAGUGGAUAGCAAGUAGUGGUUAAAAAGAAAAGACUUUGGGGAAAUAUCUUGGCUCGUCCCUGCUCAGGGUACUUAAUCUGGCCCCUCGCUCGUAGGAGAAAAUGGAGCUGGCUUGCUGUGUUCAUCAUAAAUACAGUAUUCAGCCUGAAGGGGAGGUAGUGCAAAUGAGUGAGUCACACUAUCUUGUGACAGGUAGAAGAGACAAACAUUAUCUCAUAAGCCUUCGGGGUAAAGACCUUUGAUGAUUUAAGAGCUGGAAGGCAUACAGACACACCAAAAUUGAGGAGGCCUAUACAAGUAGCUAAACUUGUAGCUAAUCAUCAGAGCACACGUGGCUGACACCUCAUAGUGAGUCAGUUGUAUCUGACUGAUAUUCUUGCACAUCUCUACUGACAGAAUGCAUUGUGGGCUGGUGGUGAUGAGCAGAGUGGCCCCACAUUUGGUGUGGAGCAGUGUCUGCCUACAGAACAGAAGUUGCUGCUGCUGCUUGAAGCACUGUUAUGGAUAUCUCUACCCCUGUCUCUACACUGUAGACUCUUGGCUUUCAUUUGAAAUCAAUGUAAAUGUAUUCAUGUAAUUUGUGUGCGGUAUUCAUUGAAGCUGCAGCGAAUGAUGGCCUGAAUCAUACGGUUAGUCCUAAGUAAUGCAGACCCAUUGAAUCAAUGGGCUUCACCUAUAUGUUGAUUUACAGUUCAGCAAUGGAUUCAGUGGCCUCUCUCUAGUUGAGAAUAAUUGAUCGAUGCAAGCUUGUUUUGAACACAUCAGUAGGUUUUUGAAGGGGAAAGGAGCUUUUAAAACCUCAUUUGUCACUUUAAUGCAACAAUCGCAGGUUGACCAAAUUACUUAGCAGAGGUCUCUCCCUACCACACAGAAUAGUGUUGUGUCUGCUGACUUGUAAAUGUAUUGAUGGUGCUGUAUCUACAACAGUGUCCUAUACUCAUAGAGAUUGCAUUUCUUUCUAGUGCUGGCAUGCCAGUUGAAUAUCUUGUUUAACUGGUUUCAUACUCCUCUCUUUCACCUACCAUGAGUAGCUGAAGAGGGUUGAGGAGUACCUCUUGUGGUUGUGUAGCAACAACAAGACCAGUUUUUCUUUGUCUUUGCUUCCCACUCCAACCCCAUUCUUUCUUAGAAAAUCUCCAGGAGCAUUUAAUUGUUAGGUGAAAGCCAGGGACAUCAGCUGUAUCCAGUAACUGGAAACCCAAGAGCUUGUUUUGUAUGAGAGGUAGUUUUGGGUUGUGACCUCAGAAUCCACCAUCCAUCAUAGCCACUUACUCAUGUCUACUGUUUAUCCUGAUCUCUCCAACAUCCAAAGCUUAUCUUCCCAUUUGUUCAAAAAAGCCUCUCCUUUACAAUGCCAUUUGGCCCCUUCUUUUGAAACUGAUGCCAUUGGAAAUUGCAGAAUUGUUCCUGGUCUGUAUCUUUUUCAGUUGCAGGGAAGCUCUUCUAUAUUUUAAAAUAUUUUCUCAGAAAAGUAAGAUGAGUAAGAGAGAAUUCCCACCUGGUUCGGGAGAGGAGCCACUGCCAAGGCUAUUAUGAUGUCUAGUACUUUUGUGUCUGCAGAGACUCUUUUAUCCCCUACAUUUCCCCAUAUGGUCUCUUCUUUGCAGAGGGAACUGGUCCAGGAUGGAGACCGUUCUGCCUUCUUUCUCUAACAAGGCAUUGGAAAACAGUAUCGUACAUUUUCUCUCAACUACUUUUUCACCUUCCAUCUCCUGUACCUUGCGAGCCAGUAAGAUAUAUAAUUUCUGGCAUUGAGAAUUCUCUGGAAGUAAUCUAUUUUGGAUUAAUUAUCACUUAUGGCCGUGAGUAGUCUGCAAUUUUGAGGACUUUUCUCACCUUAUCCAGUUUAAUGAGACAAAAUUGGUAUUGUAUCGAGGAGUGGAUUUGGUACAGAACUGAAAGCUCCUCUUCUAGGGACAUUUUUGUUCCUUCACCACUCCCUCUCUCUAUUGUCUUCCCUAGCAUCUGCCUUAAAACUAGGUGUUCAGUUGCUUAACAAGAAAUCAAGAAAUCAUAACUUAUUUUCUGUAGCAGGCGCAGAAGGAUGCUUGCUCUGAGUCAUUUAAGUGGAAACCAUGAUUAUUACUAUUAUGUUUAAAAUUGCAACGGCGUAGAGCUCAGACUGGAACUAACAAUUGCCUGUUCCUGGUGCACUAUGUUAUUCGGUUUCACUUAUCUAUCUUCUCUGACUUCUGCUAAUGCAGAUCAGACCUGAAGUGGCUACUCUCUAGAUUACAAGGAAACAAGAUGCUAUGUAGACCUUAGGCUAAGCAAUUUGAAAAAGAGGUGGAAGGACUCCACACCUGCAUUUAUGUCAGCAUCCAAAGUGCUUUUGUGACCUUCUCGGUGAACUUUAAAAAGGGAAAGUAUAGUGGUAGCAAAUGGUGGUGUGGGGACAGAAGUGGAGAGAGGAAUUUGAAGGCCUUAAGCACAGUAUGAAAAAAAAAGCAGAAAUGACCAUGAUAUACCAGCCUCGAUCAACAUGGCACCCUCCAUAUGUGUUGAGAACCACUGGUCUAAACCAUGUUGCAUUUCCCAUCCUAUCUAAUACUGGUGGGGAUUAUGGAAAUGGAGUUCAGCAUUUACAAAAGGCAAUAGAUUGGGCAAGCUGUUUUACACAUUCGCUGAAAAUACUAGGGCUGGUCUAUCUACCUAAAAGGGAUAUGUAGAAAAAUUAUCCACAAGGGUGUACUACCACUGUCCAGUGCAAUUCCUGCGGCAACAACUGAGCAAUAUUCUGCAGAGAGGAGUCAAGAAAUGAGAGCUCCAUUUCUCAAGGAAGGGAUAUAUAGGGGCUCUCUCAUACUGUACUAGCAAAACGUAAUCACUUUUUGUGCCCCCUGUUGGCUAAGGAAUACGUGGGACUUGCCAAAUAAGUAGAAGAAGCCCUUUAAAAUCUAAUUUAUAAAUAACUUUUGUAAGGAUAAAUCAAAGUGUACAUACUGAAAUCAUUUUCUCUGUAAAUGGUUGGAUUUCAUUUCACCCUUAAAGGGAUGUUUAAAGGAAGAAAUAAAACAAAUUACAAACCGUGAAA